AUCCCUCCAGCACAUGCUCAAAUCUGCAAAGAAAAAAACUCUUUCUGUCAAAUUAAAUGGAGUUUGAAGUGGGUUACAGGCCUCCAAGUGGCGAGCAUUUCGACUUGAACGGUGACAGAUUCGCCGCCGCAAAGCAGGAUGGGUAAGAAUGGGACGCUGAAAGUAUGGCGGAUGGAGAAGAGCCGGAAAAGAAAAGAAGGAGAAUAGCGGCGCUGACUGAGAAGUUAGUGAUGAAAUGCUAAGAGCUGGCUGCAGCAUGGCAGUUGAAGGUUGCAGUAUUGGUGACUGGGAUGGCCGCUGGAGUCAUGUGCAGAAGUUCCUGGAGAGAACUGGCCCCUUCACACACCCAGACUUUGAACCUAGUG